rnacentral:rRNA from 1 species
ACGAGCGCAACCCUUAUCUUNAGUUNCCAGCAACUCGGUUGGGGACUCUGGAGAUACUGCCCCGGUUAACGGGGAGGAAGGUGGGGAUGACGUCAAGUCCUCAUGGCCCUUAUGUCCAGGGCUACACACGUGCUACAAUGGUAUGUACAAAGGGUCGCAAGCCAGCGAUGGNAAGCCAAUCCCAUAAAGCAUACCUCAGUUCGGAUUGGAGUCUGCAACUCGACUCCAUGAAGUUGGAAUCGCUAGUAAUCGCGGAUCAACAUGCCGCGGUGAAUACNUUCCCGGGCCUUGNACACACCNCCCNU